rnacentral:rRNA from 1 species
CCGGCACGGGUGAGUAACACGUAUCCAACCUGCCGUCUACUCUUGGACAGCCUUCUGAAAGGAAGAUUAAUACAAGAUGGCAUCAUGAGUCCGCAUGUUCACAUGAUUAAAGGUAUUCCGGUAGACGAUGGGGAUGCGUUCCAUUAGAUAGUAGGCGGGGUAACGGCCUACCUAGUCUUCGAUGGAUAGGGGUUCUGAGAGGAAGGUCCCCCACAUUGGAACUGAGACACGGUCCAA